rnacentral:rRNA from 1 species
UACGUAGGGCGCAAGCGUUGUCCGGAAUUAUUGGGCGUAAAGAGCUCGUAGGCGGUCUGUUGCGUCGGCCGUGAAAACCUGCAGCUUAACUGUGGGCGUGCGGGCGAUACGGGCAGACUGGAGUACUGCAGGGGAGACUGGAAUUCCUGGUGUAGCGGUGGAAUGCGCAGAUAUCAGGAGGAACACCGGAGGCGAAGGCGGCUCACUGGGGGUCUUCUGACGCUGAGGAACGAAAGCCAGGGGAGCGAACGGG